rnacentral:rRNA from 1 species
AUACGGGGGGUGCAAGCGUUAAUCGGAAUUACUGGGCGUAAAGCGCGCGUAGGCGGUUUGCUCAGUCGGAUGUGAAAGCCCAGGGCUCAACCUUGGAACUGCAUACGGUACUGGCAAACUAGAGUGUGCGAGAGGAUAGUGGAAUUUCCGGUGUAGCGAUGAAAUGCGUAGAUAUCGGAAGGAACAUCAGUGGCGAAGGCGACUGUCUGGCUCAACACUGACGCUGAGGUGCGAAAGCGUGGGUAGCAAACAGAAUUAGAAACCCUAGUAGUCC